ensembl:snRNA U6 U6 spliceosomal RNA
CCGCUUUGGCAGCACAUAUACUACAGCCGGAAUGAUACACAGAAGAUGAGCAUAGCCCCUGCGCAGGGGUGACAUCCACAUUUGUGAAGCAUUCCAUAAUUUU